ACGAACGCUGGCGGCGUGCCUAAUACAUGCAAGUUGAGCGCUGAAGGUUGGUACUUGUACCAACUGGAUGAGCAGCGAACGGGUGAGUACCGCGUGGGGAAUCUGCCUUUGAGCGGGGGACAACAUUUGGAAACGAAUGCUAAUACCGCAUAAAAACUUUAAACACAAGUUUUAAGUUUGAAAGAUGCAAUUGCAUCACUCAAAGAUGAUCCCGCGUUGUAUUAGCUAGUUGGUGAGGUAAAGGCUCACCAAGGCGAUGAUACAUAGCCGACCUGAGAGGGUGAUCGGCCACAUUGGGACUGAGACACGGCCCAAACUCCUACGGGAGGCAGCAGUAGGGAAUCUUCGGCAAUGGACGAAAGUCUGACCGAGCAACGCCGCGUGAGUGAAGAAGGGUUUCGGAUCGUAAAACUCUGUUGGUAGAGAAGAACGUUGGUGAGAGUGGAAAGCUCAUCAAGUGACGGUAACUACCCAGAAAGGGACGGCUAACUACGUG
rnacentral:rRNA from 1 species